rnacentral:rRNA from 1 species
GAGUGGCGGACGGGUGAGUAACGCGUGGGUAACCUGCCUCAUACAGGGGGAUAACAGUUAGAAAUGACUGCUAAUACCGCAUAAGACCACAGCACCGCAUGGUGCAGGGGUAAAAACUCCGGUGGUAUGAGAUGGACCCGCGUCUGAUUAGGUAGUUGGUGGGGUAACGGCCUACCAAGCCGACGAUCAGUAGCCGACCUGAGAGGGUGACCGGCCACAUGGGGACUGAGACACGGCCCAGACUCCUACGGGAGGCAGCAGUGGGGAAUAUUGCACAAUGGGGGAAACCCUGAUGCAGCGACGCCGCGUGGAGGAAGAAGGUCUUCGGAUUGUAAACUCCUGUUGUUGGGGAAGAUAAUGACGGUACCCAACAAGGAAGUGACGGCUAACUACGUGCCAGCAGCCGCGGUAAAACGUAGGUCACAAGCGUUGUCCGGAAUUACUGGGUGUAAAGGGAGCGCAGGCGGGAAGACAAGUUGGAAGUGAAAUCUAUGGGCUCAACCCAUAAACUGCUUUCAAAACUGUUUUUCUUGAGUAGUGCAGAGGUAGGCGGAAUUCCCGGUGUAGCGGUGGAAUGCGUAGAUAUCGGGAGGAACACCAGUGGCGAAGGCGGCCUACUGGGCACCAACUGACGCUGAGGCUCGAAAGUGUGGGUAGCAAACAGGAUUAGAUACCCUGGUAGUCCACACCGUAAACGAUGAUUACUAGGUGUUGGAGGAUUGACCCCUUCAGUGCCGCAGUUAACACAAUAAGUAAUCCACCUGGGGAGUACGACCGCAAGGUUGAAACUCAAAGGAAUUGACGGGGGCCCGCACAAGCAGUGGAGUAUGUGGUUUAAUUCGACGCAACGCGAAGAACCUUACCAAGUCUUGACAUCCCUUGACAGACAUAGAAAUAUGUUUUCUCUUCGGAGCAAGGAGACAGGUGGUGCAUGGUUGUCGUCAGCUCGUGUCGUGAGAUGUUGGGUUAAGUCCCGCAACGAGCGCAACCCUUAUGGUCAGUUACUACGCAAGAGGACUCUGGCCAGACUGCCGUUGACAAAACGGAGGAAGGUGGGGAUGACGUCAAAUCAUCAUGCCCUUUAUGACUUGGGCUACACACGUACUACAAUGGCGUUAAACAAAGAGAAGCAAGACCGCGAGGUGGAGCAAAACUCAGAAACAACGUCCCAGUUCGGACUGCAGGCUGCAACUCGCCUGCACGAAGUCGGAAUUGCUAGUAAUCGUGGAUCAGCAUGCCACGGUGAAUACGUUCCCGGGCCUUGUACUCACCGCCCGUCA